ensembl:lncRNA
CUGGGGCUUGGUGGGAGCUGUAGUCUAAAGGGAGUACAGUGGCUGAGAAUGAUUCCAAUGACACAAGAAGGAGCUUCAGCUUUCCUGAGUAUGAAUCUCCCGUUAACCAAUUAAUACCCCGGGAGAUCGCUCCAAAGUAGGAAAUACACUGUCACCACCACCACCACCACCUCCACCACCACCACCGUGAGGAAAUGUUCCAGACCUCCAAAUGGAUUUAGGUGGGCGAUUAAAGACUGGAGGAGCUGCUGUUUUUAAGGCCAAAAAGCACCCUCUGACAUCCCACACGGCCAGAAUCUGGGUCGACAAGUCUGAUUAGAUCAUGACCUGUCCUCUGGAAGGGUUCUGAGGCUGAACGCUUUGAUUAGAGUCACAUGAUUAGAGGUGCUUUGAAGGCCCAGCGGUGACUACACGUGCCUUUGAUCCCAGCAGGCUGGGGCAGGCAGAUCUGUGAGUUGGAGGCCAGCCUGGUCUCCUUGUGUGAGUUCCUUGACAGCCAGAGCUACAUGGAGGAAUCCGGCCUUUAAAAAAUAAAUAAAAAUAAAAUAAAAUAAAAAAACACAAGACUUUGAGGAGUUCUGCUGAGG